GCCCUGUGCCCCAGUCCUACCGGCUGGUCUCCUCGCCGCGCUCCCCGCACGGCGCCUUUCAAGCUCAAACCUCUCUCCAGAUCUCAAGCUCCCAGUGCUGCCAGCAAAUCCCAACACAGAAUCAGACAACCAAGAACCAGAGGUCGACAGUGCAGACCAAAAAUGUCGCCUGCCAUUUCAGUAAACAAAGACUGUUGCCUGCCAAUCCGGGACCUGCCGCUGAUCAGCCUCCGGGCCCUGAAGGGAGUUCUGAAGGGAGCAAAACAGGAUGCUGGUGGUUCAGAUGCAUAUCCAUCCGACUUCAGUGAGCCCAGAUUCUUGCUUCUUGUCACACUU